CCUACGGGUGGCAGCAGUGGGGAAUAUUGGACAAUGGGCGAAAGCCUGAUCCAGCCAUGCCGCGUGUGUGAAGAAGGCCUUCGGGUUGUAAAGCACUUUCAGUGGGGAAGAAAGCCUUGGGGCUAAUACCCUCGAGGAAGGACAUCACCCACAGAAGAAGCACCGGCUAACUCCGUGCCAGCAGCCGCGGUAAUACGGAGGGUGCGAGCGUUAAUCGGAAUUACUGGGCGUAAAGCGCGCGUAGGCGGUCUGAUAAGCCGGUUGUGAAAGCCCCGGGCUCAACCUGGGAACGGCAUCCGGAACUGUCAGGCUAGAGUGCAGGAGAGGAAGGUAGAAUUCCCGGUGUAGCGGUGAAAUGCGUAGAGAUCGGGAGGAAUACCAGUGGCGAAGGCAGCCUUCUGGACUGACACUGACGCUGAGGUGCGAAAGCGUGGGUAGCAAACAGGAUUAGAUACCCCUGUAGUC
rnacentral:rRNA from 1 species